rnacentral:lncRNA from 1 species
GGACUAAAAACUGAUCCCAAAGUGGUGGAGACGUUGUUUUUGAAGUCAUUCAUGGCUACCACGCACAAAUAAAAUUUUAACAUUUGGUCAGUAAACACCAUUAUCCCUCCCACACUUUCACCCUCCUUCAUCUCGUAGAUCUGUGUUGCUGUCAUACCACCACCGGUCAUCAGAGUUCGGCCUUCGGGUCACCGCUGGUCACUCAAGAUCGACCACCAAAAUAUGUGAUAAGAAGGGAGGAAGAAUUUUGAUUGAGACACUUCAACUUUUGAACUUUACGUGAAGCUCAAACAAUCCCAGCCAAGCCCUUCAUCUCAAAACUUCAAAAAUUUGAUUCCUUACCAUACAUUGGUGUGUAAUUAGAAGAUCAAGGUCCGAGAACAUACAAGGUUUCAAUUGUAGUAUGUAUUAAAUCAGAAAUUGACUAAUCGAAAGGAAAUGGGACUGGUUCAAAGCUAACCAUGAAUAGUAUCCAAUAAAAAGAAGCCGAAGUAACAUAUCUACAACCCCAUGUUAACAUAAUAAUAUUCUCGGAGAAGAAGACGCGUGUGGAGAUUGCUACUUUGCCGGAGAAGAUUGUUUACCAAAAUGAUUGUGGCAGAACUCCGAUGAUCAGCAGUGGUCCGAAGGCAGUACUCCAAGGGAAAGUUGAGCGUGAAAGUGAUGAUGAGAUAAUGUGUUGAAAAUUCUCCUCACAACUAGGACAUUGUUUGCAUUAUCAGUACUUCAAACGUGGUUUACAAAGAAGUUUUACUAAUGUAUCAAAAUGAAGUCCGUGAAAUACAAUUGUCUUUAUUAUCUUAAUGUGAAUGUUUUGGUUUAUGAGUUAUGUAAUUAUGUCAUUUUGUUAUUGAAUGUGAAAUUGGCCAUUUCGCACGGGUGAAAAGUCUA